GCUUCCGUAGCUCAGUGGUGGAGUAUCUGCCUUGCAUGCAGAAGGUCCCAGGUUCAAUCCCCAGUGGCAUCU